rnacentral:tRNA from 1 species
GCCCGGGUGGCGGAACAGGUAGACGUAGCGGCCUCAGAAGCCGUGGGCCGUGCGGCCUUGAGGGUUCGAGUCCCUCCCCGGGUA